CUGCUGCCUUCCGUAGGAGUUUGGACCGUGUCUCAGUUCCAAUGUGGGGGACCUUCCUCUCAGAACCCCUAUCCAUCGUCGUCUUGGUGGGCCGUUACCCCGCCAACUAACUAAUGGAACGCAUCCCCAUCGAUAACCGAAAUUCUUUAAUAUCAAGAUCAUGCGACCUUGAUAUCCUAUCGGAUAUUAAUCUUUCUUUCGAAAGGCUAUCCCCGAGUUAUCGGCAGGUUGGAUACGUGUUACUCACCCGUGCGCCGGUCGCCAUCGGAAG
rnacentral:rRNA from 1 species